rnacentral:lncRNA from 1 species
GAGGACCACGUGAAGACCUCCGCCGACGGGCAGACCUGGUACCUAUACCUCGACAACAAGACAGGUAACAAGAAGAAUGCUUGCUUCAUCCAUGGAUGGUCAGUCAGCUCAUGCAUGUGGCCGGGUGUGUGCAGGCGUCGGGUUCCAGACGAAGCAGCGCUACCUGUUCGGCUGGUUCAGCAUGAAGCUGAAGCUGGUGGGCAACGACUCCGCGGGCGUCGUCACCGCCUACUACGUACGAAGCAGCGGUAUCCUUCCUUCCUUCGGACCGAUCGCGUCGUGUCAUCUCACCUGACGACGACGACGACGAUCAUCUCCAAUUCGCAG